rnacentral:misc_RNA from 1 species
GGAAGUGAAUUAUCGGCGGAAUAUCGUACUAAUUGAAUGAAUGAAAAACAUAGAAUGCCUUAAUUUUUGAAAAUCGAAACUCCAUUAGACCGCUUUACAUUCUGUAUACUAUAGUGGAUAUGACGAAACGGAAGAGAGGAGGGAAAGACACCUCUCAGUCUGAGGAGAGUGAGGGUUCUGUGGUGGACAGUGAAGCAGAGAGUGUGGCAGAGUCCAGGGUCACACGGAGGUCAGCUGCAGGCCUGAAUUCUCCACAUCCAGUGGCACCACCAAAG